GAUGAACGCUGGCGGCGUGCCUAACACAUGCAAGUCGAACGGAGUCCAGCCUUUAAGACCUUCGGGUCAAAGAGGGGAAGACUGAGUGGCGGACGGGUGAGUAACACGUGGGCAACCUGGCUCAUAGAGGGGGAUAACAGAGAGAAAUUUCUGCUAAUACCGCAUAAGCACACACUGCCGCAUGGCAGAGGGUGAAAAGAGAAUCGCUAUGAGAUGGACCCGCGUCUGAUUAGCCAGUUGGCAGGGUAAGAGCCUACCAAAGCGACAAUCAGUAGCCGAUCUGAGAGGAUGAACGGCCACAUUGGGACUGAGACACGGCCCAAACUCCUACGGGAGGCAGCAGUGGGGGAUAUUGCACAAUGGGGGGAACCCUGAUGCAGCGACGCCGCGUGAGUGAAGAAGUAUUUCGGUAUGUAAAGCUCUAUCAGCAGGGAAGAUAAUGACAGUACCUGAAUAAGAAGCCCCGGCUAACUACGUG
rnacentral:rRNA from 1 species